rnacentral:rRNA from 1 species
AGAGUUUGAUCCUGGCUCAGAACGAACGCUGGCGGCGUGCCUAAUACAUGCAAGUCGAGCGAGCGGAAAGAGACUUCGGUCAAUGGAAGCUUUGACUUAGUGGCGGACGGGUGAGUAACGCGUGGGUAACCUGCCUCACACAGGGGGAUAACAGUCAGAAAUGACUGCUAAUACCGCAUAAGCGCACAGUACCGCAUGGUACGGUGCGAAAAACUCCGGUGGUGUGAGAUGGACCCGCGUCUGAUUAGGUAGUUGGUGGGGCAACGGCCCACCAAGGCGACGAUCCAUAGCCGACCUGAGAGGGUGACCGGCCACAUUGGGACUGAGACACGGCCCAAACUCCUACGGGAGGCAGCAGUGGGGAAUAUUGCACAAUGGGCGAAAGCCUGAUGCAGCGACGCCGCGUGAGUGAUGAAGUAUUUCGGUAUGUAAAGCUCUAUCAGCAGGGAAGAAAAAUGACGGUACCUGACUAAGAAGCACCGGCUAAAUACGUGCCAGCAGCCGCGGUAAUACGUAUGGUGCAAGCGUUAUCCGGAUUUACUGGGUGUAAAGGGAGCGCAGGCGGUACGGCAAGUCUGAUGUGAAAGCCCGGGGCUCAACCUCGGUACUGCAUUGGAAACUGUCGAACUAGAGUGUCGGAGGGGUAAGUGGAAUUCCUAGUGUAGCGGUGAAAUGCGUAGAUAUUAGGAGGAACACCAGUGGCGAAGGCGGCUUACUGGACGAUAACUGACGCUGAGGCUCGAAAGCGUGGGGAGCAAGCAGGAUUAGAUACCCUGGUAGUCCACGCCGUAAACGAUGAAUACUAGAUGUUGGAAUUUUCAGUGUCACAGCUAACGCAAUAAGUACUCCGCCUGAGGAGUAUGCACGCAAGUGUAAAACUUAAAGGAAUUGACGGGGCCCCGCACAAGCGGUGGAGUAUGUGGUUUAAUUCGACGCAACGCGAAGAACCUUACCAGGCCUUGACAUCCCCUGCAAAACUAUAGAGAUAUAGCAGAGGUUAUCAGGGUGACAGGUGGUGCAUGGUUGUCGUCAGCUCGUGUCGUGAGAUGUUGGGUUAAGUCCCGCAACGAGCGCAACCCUUGUCUUUAGUUACCAUCAUUAAGUUGGGGACUCUAGAGAGACUGCCGGUGACAAACCGGAGGAAGGUGGGGAUGACGUCAAAUCAUCAUGCCCUUUAUGGCCUGGGCUACACACGUACUACAAUGGCGUAUACAGCAAGAUGCAAUACCGUAAGGUGGAGCAAAACUUAUAAAAUACGUCUCAGUUCGGAUUGAGGUCUGCAACUCGACCUCAUGAAGUUGGAAUCGCUAGUAAUCGCGAAUCAGCAUGUCGCGGUGAAUACGUUCCCGGGCCUUGCACACACCGCCCGUCA